rnacentral:rRNA from 1 species
GACGAACGCUGGCGGCGUGCUUAACACAUGCAAGUCGAGCGGUAAGGCCCUUUCGGGGGUACGACGAGCGGCGAACGGGUGAGUAACACGUGGGUGACCUGCCCUUAGCUCUGGGAUAAGCCUGGGAAACUGGGUCUAAUACCGGAUAUGACUCCAUGACGCAUGUUGUGGGGUGGAAAGCCUUGUGCGGCUAGGGGAUGGGGCCCGCGGCCUAUCAGCUUGUUGGUGGGGUGAUGGCCUACCAAGGCGACGACGGGUAGCCGGCCUGAGAGGGCGACCGGCCACACUGGGACUGAGACACGGCCCAGACUCCUACGGGAGGCAGCAGUGGGGAAUCUUGCGCAAUGGGCGAAAGCCUGACGCAGCGACGCCGCGUGAGGGAUGACGGCC